ACACCCUCACGUACACCGCGGGCGUGGGUGGUUUUCAGCCGGUGUCCGACCUCCUCCCGACGCCUCAUCCGCUCGAACCAUGGCAUAUCGAACAGAUCCGAUUCGCUGAAAGCCAAAGAGCGGCGGCGGCGGCAGCCUCAGCAGCGACGGCUGUUUAGAUUAAGAAAUGGAAGGUCGUCUUCUUGUUAUGUUGUUAAUGCUUAGUUUGUUUUCUUUUUACUGAUGUUUUUUAUAUGAACAUAAAUAAAACAAUCAUCUAAU